AAGAAAGAAAAAAUGCAUGCUAAAAUAGUUUAGAGUGUUUAAGUAUAAAUGUAUCCUUUAAUAACUCUAGGACUUUACUGUUUCCUAGCAGAAUGUCUUUGAAUCUUUCAGCUUUGUUUUUGGUACUCUGGGAGGUGUGGAAUACAAAUUAUAUUACAUUUGGCUGAUCUUGGAAAAGACUCUACCUAAUAUUUUUUACUUAAUGAGUAUAUGUUAUUACUAGUAUGAGAGAUUUUUUCUCUUGAUUAACAGGUUGUUAUGAACUUUAUUGAAAAGUGAUUAGUGGACUAAUUUAAUAAAUUAAGGACUCAGCUGCAUGGAUUUUAUUUAAAACAGCCCUUGAAUUCAUACUCUCGUUCUUCUGUGUAAAGCUGCGCCAUGUUAAGCCAAUGUUUAAUCGAAAUAUGGCUUCAACACCAUCUCAAAUGAGGAUACUUUUCUGAUUUUGUACUUACAUGCUUUUCUCAUCAGUUCAGAGUGUCACUGAGCAUAUUUUUGAACUAAUUGGUGAGACUAAAGCAAGGUCACUAAGAUUCAAACCAGAUGCAAGACCUCAUUUUCAGGUUUGCUGGAGAAUACAUAGUUUUUGGUUGCUAUGCAGAUGACCUCUGUUAGGUUUAGUUGUAUCCAUUCUGAACGAGACAACUAUUCCUUACUCGAACUCUGACACUGUUAUCUUCAGUAUUCUUAGACAGACUGGGUGCAGUUAGGUAACCUGGGGAUUGCGCUUUGCAAACACUCACAAACUGAAGAUAAUAUAUUAUGCUUCUUGUUAGCCAUAUGUACACAACACUGCUCCUGCACAAACUGCUUUACAUAAUAGAUAGAAGUGAUUAAGAUCAGUAAAGACCUGGCUAACUGAAUCUUCUCUUGCUAUGAGACUCUUCUUUCUUGGCAAUACUACCCUAUCAAAAAUUAAGUAUAUUCUUCAUGAAGACCCCUACACUUACAUAUGAGAAGGCAAGCAGAUGUUUAUUUUGAAUGUUCAACUUCUUGAUAAACAGGAAAAUAGUAAAGAUCUGCAGACAUGUAUAUGUGAGAUUUUUAUUGUCUACUAAAAUGGGCUUAUCUGCUAAUAUGGGCUGACUUCCGUGAGAAGUCCUGAUACUUUUGAUCUUCUGAGUUUCAUUCUAUUUACUUUCUUUGAAAUACUUAAUAUGUUACCUUAAUUUCCAGCACUUGGGUGUUUUUUCUUUUUGUUUGUUUAUUUUUUCUUCUGUGUGCUUUAAAUUGGAGUUGGUACAUAUCUAAAAUGAUUGUGCUGAUCAGCAGGCUCAAUGUGUAUUUGAGAAGCUGUCUCUAAUAUAAGCCGACAAGGACUGAUAAAACAAUAAGUCCUUCUUUAUGUCUGUCAGCUGGGAAAAUGAAUCUCUGCAUAAGCCUGUCACAGAAUAUGUGAUGUUUGAUGAAUCUGACAUUUAUCCUUUAAACUCUUUCAGUGCCACUCUGUGCCCGUUCUCCUGUAAUCAUCUGCAGCAAGUAACACAAUGUAUGACAAGUCUGGUACACCCUGCAUAUACCAGAGACAAACAUCUACAAAGCCGUACCUGCUUCAGCUUUCCUGAUGCACAGCCUGCUACUCAGAGUGAUACUGUCUGCAAUCACUACUGUGCUCUACAUUAGAGAGAAGCCAUAAGAAAUCUGUCAUCUUUUGUACACUGCAAGAUUCCAUGCACUGAAAACUUCCCGUACCAUUACCUGCUAGCACCUGCUUGGGGCAGUUAACAUUCAAAUCAUGUCAUGUGCAGAGAUGAAAAAUGGACAAAGCUCACUCAUGCUGUAUGGUAGCAGAGCUGGCAGGUGUGUGGGUAGGAACGGAUGUUACUCCUUUCUAAUGUGGUGAAGUGGGCUGCAUUGCUCUGGAUGGCAGGGUGCUAUAGGAGUUGGGCAUUCAUCAGCUCCUCAGAGAGUACAUGAACUCCACAGAGGUGUAGGAUAGGAAGAGAUUGGUACUGAUGAGCAGAAUAUUCUGUGCAGCACAACAGCCGUUAAAUAAAUGGGAUAAAAAUGUCAUUACAAGGGCAGAACUGACUUUGGGAAAUUGGCUGUCAUCGCAAAAACAAAUUUUCACCAACAAACUGUUUACUUGUAGCUAAGUCGCAUUAACUGUGUGCUAUGUAUGACACAAAUGAG